CGACGUUUUCUUGAGUUUCAGAGGUGAAGACACCCGUAAAGGUUUCAUCGACCACCUCUCUACAACCUUACACGAAAAAGGUAUCCACACUUUCAAAGACGACACCGAACUCAAGAGAGGGAGUUCCAUUUCCCCAAUACUCGAAAAAGCCAUUGAAAGUUCUGAAGUCGCACUCGUUGUCUUCUCGAAAAACUAUGCCGACUCGUCUUGGUGUUUAGAUGAGAUUGUUAAGAUCGUUGAAUGUAACAAGAAAUUUGGCCAAAAGAUUUAUCCUGUAUUCUACAAUGUGGAUCCUUCUGAUGUUAGGAAGCAAAAAGGGAGUUACAAAAUAGCUUUUGACAAAUAUGAAAACGAUCCUAACGUGGAGAAGGAGAAAAUUAAGAGCUGGAGGAAUGCUUUGAAGGAAGCUGCUAGUGUUUCUGGAUGGGAUACCAAUCAUACUGCUGAUGGGUAAAUUUCCUACACUUUACUCUCCUUUAUUAUGUUUGCUGAUUUGCUUUUAAGUGUGAUAAUUCGUACGCAAAGUGUGGUAAUAUAUAAAACAAGCCCCAAUCUAAUAUAUUCUAUAAAAUGUGUAAAUAAAAAUAGUGUUUGAUUAGCUUAUAAUACUUUAAUUAUGCACAUAAGUAUUCUGCUACCAUCAGUUUUAGUCUCGCUUCACCUUGUAAAUUAAGCAUUUUAGACAUUCUCGACCCCUUACAACUCGGUUUCAAAGUCAAUUCUACCAUAACAUAGUAAACCUUGAUACUUUAGACUUAUCUCACAUGUUGAAUCAAGUCGAUCAUAAUUCUUACCAUUUCUAUUUUAGAAAUAUUAAUAUUCUAUUGCUAAAAUAUCAAGGGAUUAGUAAUUUAUGAGAUAUAAGAAAUAUCACAAUUUUAACACAAUAAUUAUGAAUACAAUUCAAAGUCCUGAAAAAAGGUGAUGAGAAGGAUAUCCUAAACAAAGGUUAAAUUUUCUAUACCCGAUAUGAGACUUGGGAUCUUCGUGCACAAUGUAGCAAUGAUAUCUAUACCAUGCUUCACAUAUCUUAAGAUUUUCCUAAUUACUGAUUAAUUAUCAUAAAAACUGUUUAUUGAUACUUGAUAAUCUCAUACAUAGCUUUUAUGUUACUAUCAUUCUUGAGAGCAGAGUCCAGUCACUAAUGCAACAUGGAAAGAACAUAAAUUUUUCAUUUUUUUUGAAAAAUAUAAAAUAAAUAAAUAAACAAAUAAAGGCCUGAUAUGGAAUAUGCCUCGACUCGUACUGGCUAUAUCCAUGCUGCAUCAUUUUGUAUGUUUGUACUUGUGGGAACAGUGGUUUCUUAUCCUCGCUCGCUUUAGUAUCUUCCUAAGAAAACUGUGGAAAGGAAAUAUCGUCACAAUACCGUAUAUAAACAGAAGUUCGUGCUAAAAUGUUGGUAUUUGUUUAUUUAUGUGAUGUGUAAUUGAUGGGAUUUUUGAGCUUAUCUUGUUGCUAGUUUAUAAACUCGAUUAGGGUUCGUGUUGGAUUUCAGAUUUUAGGGUUUUAGAUAUGUUGGUAACAUACAAUAGUUAACAUGUUCAUAUGUUUCUACUUACUGGUGAAUAUAUGCAAAUGGAAAAAGAUAUUGAACAUACACUUGUUUUUCAUUAUUUUGUGAUAAUAUGCAUGCAUAUUCAGUAUAUUUAAAAUUGUGAACGAUUUAAACUAGUUUUCAUUAGUAUGAUUUUCCUUCAUCUCUAACUCAAAGUCUGCCACUGUAAACUAAUGUUUUUCUUCUUUCUGAUCUUCAGACACGAGUCGAAAGGCAUCAGAGAAAUUGCUCGAGAAAUUUUAAAGAAUUUGAGCCAUACAAUCUCUCGAUUUAAAGAAAACCUGAUUGGAGUAGAGUCGCAUGUUCAGAAAGUGACAUCACUGUUGAAUCUUGAGCGAACUCAAGAUGUUCGCAUGAUAGGUAUAUGGGGUAUGGGUGGCAUCGGGAAAACAACUAUCGUCAGGACUGUGUUUGAUCAAAUAUUUAACGAAUUUGAAGGCAGUUGCUAUCUUGACAAUGUAAGAGAAGUUUCCAAAACUUUAGGACUGAAUUCGUUAGAAGAAAAAUUACUCUCUGACACUUUGAUGGAAAAAAGCGCAAAUCUCCACAAUAAUACGUCUAUGCUAUUCGCAAGGUUACGUCACAAAAGGGUGCUUGUUGUUCUUGACGAUGUCAAUGAACUCGAGCAUUUAGACAGACUGGCUGGAGGGCAUGAUUGGUUUGGAGCCGGAAGCAGAAUCAUCAUAACAACAAGAGACAGACAGAUACUUUCGCCACGUCAAAUUGAUGAUGUAUAUGAGGUCAGUUUCUUAGGGACUGAUGUAGCACUGAAGCUGUUUAGCAAAUUUGCCUUUAAGGAAGGUUUUCCUAAAGAUAAAUUUGAAAAGCUUGCACAUAAGGCAGUUAGAUAUGCUCGCGGUCUUCCUUUAGCUCUUAAGGUGUUGGGCAAUUUUUUACAUGGUCGAGAUAUUGAUGAAUGGGAAAAUGCAUUGGAUAGAUUGGAAGAAAUUCCGGAAGAUAAAAUCUUGGAGAAACUUAAAUUGAGUUUUGAUGCACUGAAUGACAUGGAGAAGAAGAUAUUCCUUGAUGUUGCUUGUUUUUUUAAGGGGAAGAAGAAAGAAUAUGUGAUAAGAAAACUUGACGGCUUCGGUCAGCAAGCUAAGGAAGCAGUAAGAGAUUUGAUUCAAAAAUCUCUUAUAACUAUAACCACUGAUGACAGGCUUCAG
rnacentral:lncRNA from 1 species